GAUGAAGAACGCAGCGAAAUGCGAUACGUAAUGUGAAUUGCAGAAUUCAGUGAAUCAUCGAAUCUUUGAACGCAUAUUGCGCUCUCUGGUAUUCCGGAGAGCAUGCUUGUUUGAGUAUCAGUAAACACCUCAACUCCCUUUUCUUUUUUGAAAUGGGAGCUGGACUUGAGUGAUCCCAACGCUUUUCUCACCGGAAAGUGGCGGGUUACUUGAAAUGCAGGUGCAGCUGGACUUUUCUCUGAGCUAUAAGCAUAUCUAUUUAGUCUGCCUAAAAACAGAUUAUUACCUUUGCUGCAGCUAACAUAAAGGAGAUUAGUUCUUGUGCUGACUGAUGCAGGAUUCACAGAGACAGCUUCGGCUGACUUUGUAAACUCGAUCUCAAAUCAAGUAAGACUACCCGCUGAACUUAAGCAUAUCAAUAAGCGGAGG
rnacentral:misc_RNA from 1 species